UUGAAGAUUACAAAGAGUUUUUGGGUGAAACAACUACCACACAUGGUAAGUCACAAUUAGAUCUUUAUUUUGAGGAACCAACUCAUAAUUUGACUGAAGAUUUGGAUGUUUUGGAGUUUUGGAAUAAAAGUUCAAUGAGAUAUCCCGAACUCUCAAAAAUGGCACGCGAUGUUUUAUCAAUUCCGGUUACAAGUGUUGCUUCAGAAUCCGCUUUUAGCAUUGGAAAUAAAAUCAUUACCGCUUCUAGAAGUUCUCUUAAUUCUAAGACGGUUCAAGCUUUAAAUUGUCUCAAGGAUUGGAUUCGUGCGGAAGGUGAUUUUGCACCCAAAUUUGAAUCCGACAGCUCAAGUGAGGAUGAUAUUAGUGAUAUUGAUGGCGAAGAAGAAGUUGAAAUUAUGGAUUUUUAGGAAAUGUGAAUUUGCCUUGAAGGAGUUUGUUGUUCUUUUAUUUCAAUUUUUAGAGUUUUAUUUAGAUGGUUUAAAAUAUUAAUUCAUAUUUGUGUCUUUAUUAUCAUGAUGAACAUGAUUACUGGUUUAAAAUUUGAAUAUUUAUGUUGAAA